rnacentral:rRNA from 1 species
UACGUAGUGGGCUAGCGUUGUCCGGAAUCAUUGGGCGUAAAGAGCGUGUAGGCGGCUCGGUAAGUCCGCUGUGAAAGUCCAGGGCUCAACCCUGGAAUGCCAGUGGAAACUGUCGAGCUAGAGUCCGGAAGAGGCGAGUGGAAUUCCUGGUGUAGCGGUGAAAUGCGCAGAUAUCAGGAGGAACACCAGCAGCGAAGGCGGCGCUCUGGGCCGGUACUGACGCUGAGGAGCGAAAGCGUGGGUAGCAAACAGG